UCUACUGGAUCCUUCCGGGUGAAAGUGUCCGGACCGGUUGAUUUACCGGCGUUAAGGAACUCGCCCUGACAGAACUGGGGACCAACAAUUGGGAACGGAAUGCCUAAUACCGGGAUUAAUUAUGGACUGAAGUCGCCAUGAUUUGGUUUAUGAAAACUAUAUGCCUUGAGAAGAACUUUGCGUCCCAUUAUUUAUUGUGAGUAACGGCUCCACCAAGACGAUGAUGGGUAACCGGCCUGAGAGGGUGAACGGCCACAAGGGGACUGAGACACGGCCCUUACUCCUACGGGAGGCANCAAUGGGGAAUAUUGGACAAUGGACCAAAAAGUCUGAUCCAGCAAUUCUGUGUGCACGAUGAAGUUUUUCGGAAUGUAAAGUGCUUUCAGUUGGGAAGAAGUCAGUGACGGUACCAACAGAAGAACGGCGGCUUAAUACGUGCCAGCACCGCGGUAAUACGUAUGUCGCAAGCGUUAUCCGGAUUUAUUGGGCGUAAAGCGCGUCUAGGCGGUUUAGUAAGUCUGAUGUGAAAAUGCGGGGCUCAACCCCGUAUUGCGUUGGAAACUGCUAAAUUAGAGUACUGGAGAGGUAGGCGGAACUACAAGUGUAGAGGCGAAAUUCGUAGAUAUUUGUAGGAAUGCCGAUGGGGAAGCCAGCCUACUGGACAGAUACUGACGCUAAAGCGCGAAAGCGUGGGUAGCAAACAGGAUUAGAUACCCUGGUAGUCCACGCCGUAAACGAUGAUUACUAGGUGUUGGGGGUCGAACCUCAGCGCCCAAGCUAACGCGAUAAGUAAUCCGCCUGGGGAGUACGUACGCAAG
rnacentral:rRNA from 1 species